rnacentral:rRNA from 1 species
GAUGAACGCUGGCGGCAGGCUUAACACAUGCAAGUCGAACGCAUCCUUCGGGGUGAGUGGCAGACGGGUGAGUAACGCGUGGGAACGUGCCCUUCAGUUCGGGAUAACCCAGGGAAACUUGGGCUAAUACCGGAUACGUGCGAGAGCAGAAAGAUUUAUCGCUGAAGGAUCGGCCCGCGUCUGAUUAGCUAGUUGGUGGGGUAAUGGCCCACCAAGGCGACGAUCAGUAGCUGGUCUGAGAGGAUGAUCAGCCACAUUGGGACUGAGACACGGCCCAAACUCCUACGGGAGGCAGCAGUGGGGAAUAUUGGACAAUGGGCGCAAGCUAGAUCCAGCCAUGCCGCGUGAGUGAUGAAGGCCUUAGGGUUGUAAAGCUCUUUCGUCCGGGACGAUAAUGACGGUACCGGAAGAAGAAGCCCCGGCUAACUUCGUGCCAGCCGCCGCCGUAA